rnacentral:rRNA from 1 species
UACGAAGGGGGCUAGCGUUGUUCGGAAUUACUGGGCGUAAAGCGCACGUAGGCGGAUUGUUAAGUGAGGGGUGAAAUCCCAGGGCUCAACCCCUGGAACUGCCUUUCAUACUGGCAAUCUCGAGUCCGAAAGAGGUGAGUGGAAUUCCGAGUGUAGAGGUGAAAUUCGUAGAUAUUCGGAGGAACACCAGUGGCGAAGGCGGCUCACUGGUUCGGUACUGACGCUGAGGUGCGAAAGCGUGGGGAGCAAACAGG